AGAGUAAGUGGUGGAUGCCUUGGCUAGUAGAGGCGAUGAAAGACGUGCCAGGCUGCGAUAAGUCUCGGGGAGCCGUCAAGGGGCUUUGAUCCGGGAAUUUCUGAAUGGGGCAACCCAGUUAAGCGCGAGCUUAACUACCUAAUAUGGAGCGAACGAGGGGAAUUGAAACAUCUUAGUACCCUCAGGAAAAGAAAUCAAAAGAGAUUACGCUAGUAGCGGCGAGCGAACGCGUAAGAGGGCAAACCGUUAGUUUACUAACGGGGUUGUAGGACUGCGAUAUAGACUAAACUUAGCUAAUAGAAUAAUCUGGAAAGAUUAAGCAUAGAGGGUGAUACUCCCGUAUAUGAAAGCUUUGUUUUACUUAGCGGUAUCCUGAGUAGGGCGGAACACGUGAUAUUCUGUCUGAAGCUGGGUAGACCACUAUCCAACCCUAAAUACUACUACUAGACCGAUAGUGCACAAGUACCGUGAGGGAAAGGUGAAAAGAACUGAGGUGAUCAGAGUGAAAUAGAACCUGAAACCAUUUGCUUACAAUCAUUCAGAGCCCUAUGAUUUAUCAGGGUGAUGGACUGCCUUUUGCAUAAUGAGCCUGCGAGUUGUGAUGUCUGGCGAGGUUAAGGAAACCCGGAGCCGUAGCGAAAGCGAGUCUUAAUAGGGCGUUUAGUCAGAUGCUGCAGACCCGAAACGAUGUGAUCUAUCCAUGAGCAGGUUGAAACCGGUGUAAGAGCCGGUGGAGGACCGAACCCGCUAGCGUUGAAAAGCUAUGGGAUGACUUGUGGAUAGGGGUGAAAGGCCAAUCAAACAUCGUGAUAGCUGGUUCUCUCCGAAAUAUAUUUAGGUAUAGCGUCAUGUAGUAACACUAGGGGGUAGAGCACUGAAUGGGCUAGGGCAUACACCAAUGUACCAAACCCUAUCAAACUCCGAAUACCUAGUGUGUAAUCAUGGCAGUCAGGCGGCGAGUGAUAAAAUCCGUCGUCGAGAGGGGAACAACCCAGACUAACAGCUAAGGUCCCUAAAUCUCAUUUAAGUGGAAAACGAUGUGGAGUUACUUAAACAACCAGGAGGUUGGCUUAGAAGCAGCCAUCCUUUAAAGAAAGCGUAAUAGCUCACUGGUCUAGUGAUUUUGCGCGGAAAAUAUAACGGGGCUAAAAUGAGUACCGAAGCUUUAGAUAGUGUCUAUGAUUAUUUAUACUAGCUUGUCUCUUUGGCAUCUUUAAAUGAGUUUGUAUUUUUCUCAAUCGACAGCCUAUAUGGCUAGUCUCAAUCGAAAAAUACUUCACAACAUUUAAAUCUGCUCAAAGAUACUUCGCUUUUUGCAUUCAAAUUUGAAUGCAACGUCUUAAUCUAAAUUUAGAAAUUUCAAAUUUCUUAGAAUUUUAAAAUUUAGCAACAAAAGCAAAAUAAAAUAAAGGCGAAGUAUUUUUGUCUUUAGGCGAGGCGAAUUUUAGCGAAGCAAGGGAGUUAUCGUUUGGAUAAUGACCGAAGCUGAGCGAAAAUUCAACGAAGCAUAAAGCAAAAAGACAAGCCUAAGUAAAGUAUAAAUACUCAUAGACACUGUGGUAGGAGAGCGUUGCAUUCAGCGUCGAAGGUGUACCGGUAAGGAGCGCUGGAGCGAAUGCAAGUGAGCAUGCAGGCAUGAGUAGCGAUAAUUGGGGUGAGAAUCCCCAACGCCGUAAACCCAAGGUUUCCUACGCGAUGCUCGUCAUCGUAGGGUUAGCCGGGUCCUAAGCAAAGUCCGAAAGGGGUAUGCGAUGGAAAAUUGGUUAAUAUUCCAAUGCCAACUAUAAUGUGCGAUGGAAGGACGCUUAGAGUUAGAGGAGCCAGCGGAUGGUAGUGCUGGUCGAAAGGUGCAGGUUGGAGUUCAGGCAAAUCCGAACUCCUUUAAGCCGAGGCCUUACAGGUGCGUGAAGUUCUUCGGAAUGAAUCGUAAAUCCUUGAUACUGUCGAGCCAAGAAAAGUUUCUAAGUUUAGUUAUAGUUGCCCGUACCGUAAACCGACACAGGUGGGUGGGAUGAGUAUUCUAAGGCGCGUGGAAGAACUCUCUUCAAGGAACUCUGCAAAAUAGCACCGUAUCUUCGGUAUAAGGUGUGCCUAACUUUGUGAAGGAUUUACUCCGUAAGCAUUGAAGGUUACAACAAAGAGUCCCUCCCGACUGUUUACCAAAAACACAGCACUCUGCUAACUCGUAAGAGGAUGUAUAGGGUGUGACGCCUGCCCGGUGCUCGAAGGUUAAUUGAUGACGUUAGCUCUGCGAAGCGUUUGAUCGAAGCCCGAGUAAACGGCGGCCGUAACUAUAACGGUCCUAAGGUAGCGAAAUUCCUUGUCGAUUAAAUAUCGACCUGCAUGAAUGGCGUAACGAGAUGGGAGCUGUCUCGAAGAGGGAUCCAGUGAAAUUGUAGUGGAGGUGAAAAUUCCUCCUACCCGCGGCAAGACGGAAAGACCCCGUGGACCUUUACUACAGCUUGACACUGCUAUUGGGAUAAAAAUGUGCAGGAUAGGUGGGAGGCUUUGAUCCAUAGACGCCAGUUUAUGGUGAGCCAUUGUUGAGAUACCACUCUUUUUUAUUCUGAUAGCUAACUAGCUUGAGUUAUCCUCAAGUAGGACAAUGUCUGGUGGGUAGUUUGACUGGGGCGGUCGCCUCCCAAAAUGUAACGGAGGCUUACAAAGGUUGGCUCAGAACGGUUGGAAAUCGUUCGUAGAGUAUAAAGGCAUAAGCCAGCUUAACUGCGAGACAUACACGUCGAGCAGAGACGAAAGUCGGUCUUAGUGAUCCGGUGGUUCUGUGUGGAAGGGCCAUCGCUCAAAGGAUAAAAGGUACCCCGGGGAUAACAGGCUGAUCUCCCCCAAGAGCUCACAUCGACGGGGAGGUUUGGCACCUCGAUGUCGGCUCAUCGCAUCCUGGGGCU
rnacentral:rRNA from 1 species